AGUGAACGCUGGCGGUAGGCCUAACACAUGCAAGUCGAACGGCAGCACAGUAAGAGCUUGCUCUUACGGGUGGCGAGUGGCGGACAGGUGAGGAAUACAUCGGAAUCUACUUUUUCGUGGGGGAUAACGUAGGGAAACUUACGCUAAUACCGCAUACGACCUACGGGUGAAAGCAGGGGAUCUUCGGACCUUGCGCGAUUGAAUGAGCCGAUGUCGGAUUAGCUAGUUGGUGGGGUAAAGGCCCACCAAGGCGACGAUCCGUAGCUGGUCUGAGAGGAUGAUCAGCCACACUGGAACUGAGACACGGUCCAGACUCCUACGGAAGGCAGCAGUGGGGAAUAUUGGACAAUGGGCGCAAGCCUGAUCCAGCCAUACCGCGUGGGUGAAGAAGGCCUUCGGGUUGUAAAGCCCUUUUGUUGGGAAAGAAAAGCAGCAGGUUAAUACCCCGCUGUUCUGACGGUACCCAAAGAAUAAGCACCGGCUAACUUCGUG
rnacentral:rRNA from 1 species